rnacentral:rRNA from 1 species
UACGUAGGUGGCGAGCGUUGUCCGGAUUUACUGGGCGUAAAGAGCGCGCAGGCGGUCGUACAAGUCGCGUGUGAAAGCCCCCGGCUCAACUGGGGAGGGUCACGCGAUACUGUUCGACUCGAAGGCAGGAGAGGGUAGUGGAAUUCCUGGUGUAGCGGUGAAAUGCGCAGAUAUCAGGAGGAACACCGAUGGCGAAGGCAGGUCUCUGGGCAUUAACUGACGCUGAGGAGCGAAAGCAUGGGGAGCGAACAGG